rnacentral:rRNA from 1 species
AGCGAACGCUGGCGGCGUGCUUAACACAUGCAGGUCGAACGAGAACGGAUUAUAGCUUGCUAUAAUUGUCAGCUAAGUGGCGCACGGGUGAGUAAUGUAUAGGUAAUAUGCCUCUUACUAAGGGAUAACAAAUGGAAACGUUUGCUAAUACCUUAUACUCCUUAUUAACAGAAGUUAAUAAGGGAAAGAUUUAUUGGUAAGAGAUUAGCCUGUAUUGUAUCAGUUAGUUGGUGGGGUAAUGGCUUACCAAGACUAUGACACAUAACUGGUUUGAGAGGAUGGUCAGUCACACUGGAAGUGAGACACGGUCCAGACUCCUACGGGAGGCAGCAGUGGGGAAUAUGGCACAAUGGACGAAAGUCUGAUGCAGCAACGCCGCGUGGAGGAUGACACAUUUCGGUGCGUAAACUCCUUUUAUAUGAGAAGAUAAUGACGGUAUUAUAUGAAUAAGCACCGGCUAACUCCGUGCCAGCCGCCGCCGUAAUAC